UGAGGAAUAUUGGUCAAUGGGCGCAAGCCUGAACCAGCCAAGUAGCGUGCAGGAAGACGGCCCUAUGGGUUGUAAACUGCUUUUAUACGAGAAUAAUUUGAUGCACGUGUGCGUUAUUGCAUGUAUCGUAUGAAUAAGGACCGGCUAAUUCCGUGCCAGCAGCCGCGGUAAUACGGAAGGUCCAGGCGUUAUCCGGAUUUAUUGGGUUUAAAGGGAGUGUAGGCGGUUUGUUAAGCGUGUUGUGAAAUUUAGGUGCUCAACAUUUAACUUGCAGCGCGAACUGGCGAACUUGAGUGCACACAACGUAUGCGGAAUUCAUGGUGUAGCGGUGAAAUGCUUAGAUAUCAUGAAGAACUCCGAUUGCGAAGGCAGCAUACGGGAGUGUAACUGACGCUUAAGCUCGAAGGUGCGGGUAUCGAACAGGAUUAGAUACCCUGGUAGUCCGCACAGUAAACGAUGGAUGCCCGCUGUUAGCGCCUGGCGUUAGCGGCUAAGCGAAAGCAUUAAGCAUCCCACCUGGGGAGUACGCCGGCAACGGUG
rnacentral:rRNA from 1 species